rnacentral:rRNA from 1 species
GAUGAACGCUGGCGGCGUGCCUAAUACAUGCAAGUCGAGCGAAUGGAUUAAGAGCUUGCUCUUAUGAAGUUAGCGGCGGACGGGUGAGUAACACGUGGGUAACCUGCCCAUAAGACUGGGAUAACUCCGGGAAACCGGGGCUAAUACCGGAUAACAUUUUGAACCGCAUGGUUCGAAAUUGAAAGGCGGCUUCGGCUGUCACUUAUGGAUGGACCCGCGUCGCAUUAGCUAGUUGGGGAGGUAACGGCUCACCAAGGCAACGAUGCGUAGCCGACCUGAGAGGGUGAUCGGCCACACUGGGACUGAGACACGGCCCAGACUCCUACGGGAGGCAGCAGUAGGAAAUCUUCCGCAAUGGACGAAAGUCUGACGGAGCAACGCCGCGUGAGUGAUGAAGGCUUUCGGGUCGUAAAACUCUGUUGUUAGGGAAGAACAAGUGCUAGUUGAAUAAGCUGACACCUUGACGGUACCUAACCAGAAGGCCACGGCUAACUACGUGCCAGCAGCCGCCGUAA